rnacentral:lncRNA from 1 species
UUGUUAGAUAUUAUUAGACUUUAAAUAUCAUAAGAUUCAACAUUCUAAUAUCCCCAUAUCAUUUAUUCCUUACAUCCAAUCCAAUUCUAUUGGAAUAAAUAUACCCAUAUCUUUUAGAGCUAAAACAAGGACACAAAUUUAAAUAACCAAACAACCUUAAGAACUCUUCUUAUUCAUCCUAUCACCUAAGUAAAAGAGUGUGUCGACCUUAACGACUUUUUGGUUUUGAGUGGUUCAGUCUUGGGGGAGUUGGGGCUAACCAUAGAUGUUGAAGGACUCCGGAUAAAACUCGUUGUUUGCGAUAGGUUAACCAUGUUCACCAUUGUCUGUGUUUGUAUUAUCAAAUCUUCAUUUCCACCAACCGUAACCACCAUUUUCUUUAUCGGGUCCUUAUGAAUAGCUCUAAAUUUCACCAAUGACAUUAUGUUGCUGGAUUUUUCUAC